rnacentral:rRNA from 1 species
UCCAGACUCCUACGGGAGGCAGCAGUGGGGAAUAUUGCACAAUGGGGGAAACCCUGAUGCAGCGACGCCGCGUGAGUGAAGAAGUAAUUCGUUAUGUAAAGCUCUAUCAGCAGGGAAGAAAAUGACGGUACCUGAGUAAGAAGCCCCGGCUAACUACGUGCCAGCAGCCGCGGUAAUACGUAGGGGGCAAGCGUUAUCCGGAUUUACUGGGUGUAAAGGGAGCGUAGACGGCCAUGCAAGCCAGGGGUGAAAGCCCGGGGGCCAACCCCGGGACUGCCCUUGGAACUGCAUGGCUGGAGUGCGGGAGGGGCAGGCGGAAUUCCUGGUGUAGCGGUGAAAUGCGUAGAUAUUCGGAGGAACACCGGUGGCGAAGGCGGCCAACUGGGCUUUAACUGACGCUGAGGCUCGAAAGUGUGGGGAGCAAACAGGAUUAGAUACCCGCGUAA